GCUGGACAUGGUGACAUGCGCCUGUAGUCUCAGCUACUCAGGGGGCUGAGACAAGAGGAUGGCUUGAGUCCAGGAGUUCUGAGCUGUAGUGUGCUAUGUAGAUUGGGUGUCUGCACUAAGUUCAGCAUCAAUAUGGUGACCUCCCGGGAGCAGGGGCCACCAGGUUGCUUAAGGAGAGGUGAACCGACCCAGGUUGGAAAUGGAGCAGGUCAAAGCUCCUGUGCUGAUCAGUAGUGGGAUCACACCUGUGAAUGGCCAUUGAACUCCAGCCUGGGCAACAGAGCAAGACCCCCAUGUCU
ensembl:misc_RNA Metazoa_SRP Metazoan signal recognition particle RNA